CUCAUACUCCCUCCGUCCCAAAAUACUUGUCAAAAAAAUGGAUGUAUCUAGACAUAUUUUAGUUCUAGAUACUUCCAUUUUUAUCAAUUUCUCCGACAAGUAUUUCCGGACGGAGGGAGUAAUAU
rfam:Triticum aestivum genome assembly, contig: Triticum_aestivum_CS42_TGACv1_scaffold_406290_5BL